GCUCGCAUAGCUCAGUGGCAGAGCGCUUGACUUGUAAUCAAGAGGUCGGUGGUUCAAUCCCGCCUGUGAGCA
rnacentral:tRNA from 1 species